rnacentral:rRNA from 1 species
GAUGAACGCUAGCGGCAGGCUUAACACAUGCAAGUCGAGGGGCAGCGAGAGGUAGCAAUACUUUGUCGGCGACCGGCGGAAGGGUGCGUAACACGUGAGCAACUUGCCCGUAUCUGGGACAUAAGCGGUGGAAACGCCGUCUAAUUUCCCAUAACAACAGGGAAGACAUCUUCUUUGUUUGAAAGCUAUGGCGGAUACGGAUAGGCUCGCGGGACAUUAGCUAGUUGGAGUGGUAACGGCACACCAAGGCGACGAUGUCUAGGGGUUCUGAGAGGAAGGUCCCCCACAUUGGAACUGAGACACGGUCCAAACUC